GUUUGGUAAACAGGCCAGAAAAUGACCUUUUUGUUCUUUUGGUGCUUUACUUCUUAGUCCUGUCUACCUAUUUUGCAAUAGGCCCAUAAUGUUUGUACAAUAAUCGAUAGGAGAUAAACUCAUCGGAUCCACACUCCCUUCACCGCACGCACACACAUAGAUCGGAGAAGAUGGAGGGAGAUAGAUUGAGAGAGAUAUAGGGAGAAAACGUCAUUGUUGUGGUGGAGAGAGAGAACUGGUCUGAGGAGAAAAAACAGAGAAAAACGAAAGAGGGAGAGAGAUAGAGCAUCGAGAGAGAGAGGGAUUCGAGGUCGAGAUCUGUAACAUAGAAGAAAGCGGGGUUGAUUUCGGGUUACUUGAAAACGGGUUCCGAUGGGUUUGGUAGCUGUUCCGGCGACUCCUUCGCCGGAACAUUGUCGUUCUCUCUUGACUUCUGGACGAAUCCGAUAGGGAGACGAUAAUCUCGUCGGAACAGUCCAUUUUGAACGUUUUCAAGCACCCCCAUUUAGGAAACAUUCUGCGUCUCCGGAAUCCGACUUACUUCCGUCUGUUUUGGUCACUGUUAUCUCACUGGAAUUCAAGUCGUGUGGAUUUUUUGUUUUCUACCCGAUUUUUGAAGCUUUGGGUUCGUCUAUUUUAGUGAUUCGAGAUCAAAAAUCGAACUUUGAGUUCAUUAGUCGUCGUUCUGGGUUCGUUUUUUUUUUUUUUUCAUGUCGAGGUUUGGUCCGUGUUUCUUCUUCGAAGCUGCUGUUCGGAUUUUUGGUAUUGGGUUUCGUUCGAAUUCGGUUUAAGUCGAGGUUUCGAAUCCACGAAAGCUCCUCCGUUUGACUGAAUGAAAGCGACAUUGAG
rnacentral:lncRNA from 1 species